GUAGAUGAUGAAAUAUGCACUGGGCUCUGAUCUUAUAUUUGAUGGACAUUUGCAGCCUAGAAAGCUAUAUCUGAUCU